GAUGAAGAACGUAGCGAAAUGCGAUAAGUAAUGUGAAUUGCAGAAUUCAGUGAAUCAUCGAAUCUUUGAACGCACCUUGCGCCCUUUGGCCAUUCCGAAGGGCAUGCCUGUUUGAGUAUCAUGAACACCUCAACUCUUUAUGGUUUUCCAUGAUGAGCUUGGACUUUGGGGGUUUUGCUGGCCUAUGGUCGGCUCCUCUAAAAUAAAUCAGCUUACCAGUGUUUGGUGGGUAUCAUGGGUGUGAUAACUAUCUACGCUUGUGGUUUUUCCGCCAGGUAACCUUCGACAGCGGAGGUUCACUGGAGCUCAUAGAUGUCUCUCCUCAGCGAGGACAGCCCUUUAAAUGUUUGAUCUCAAAUCAGGUAGGACUACCCGCUGAACUUAAGCAUAUCAAUAAGCGGAGGA
rnacentral:misc_RNA from 1 species